UCAGACAUGGUGUAGCGGGAACACAGCCCCUUAUCACAAUCAAGGUGCAUGAGUUCUAGAGGUAGUUCAGGGUCCGAAUCCCUGUGUCUGAA